rnacentral:pre_miRNA from 14 species
GUUUGUCGUUGUGGUGUUGAAUGACCCCCAGAGUGGGGAGACCCUCACUCAAGUCUCGGGAUGAUGCGACCCCCCAAGAACUCACGUGAGACC